CCUACGGGUGGCAGCAGUGAGGAAUAUUGGUCAAUGGAGGCAACUCUGAACCAGCCAAGCCGCGUGCAGGAUGACGGCCCUAUGGGUUGUAAACCGCUUUUAUGCGGGGACAAACCGCGGCACGUGUGCCUUACUGCAUGUAUCCCAUGAAUAAGCAUCGGCUAAUUCCGUGCCAGCAGCCGCGGUAAUACGGAAGGUGCGGGCGUUAUCCGGAUUUAUUGGGUUUAAAGGGGGCGUAGGCCGUCCCUUAAGUGCGGUGUGAAAUGCCGCGGCUCAACCCUGGCCCUGCAGCGGGAACUGGGGGGCUAGAGUGGGCGGGAGGUAGGCGGAAUGCGUGGUGUAGCGGUGAAAUGCAUAGAUAUCACGAAGAACUCUGAUUGCGAAGGCAGCAUACCGUAGCGUAACUGACGCUGAGGCACGAAGGCGCGGGUAUCGAACAGGAUUAGAUACCCCUGUAGUC
rnacentral:rRNA from 1 species